CUUGGAAUCUCCAGAAUGAUGAGGGUUUUUUGUAUGCUGAUGAGAUGACUGAUGGCUGGGGGUCUCUAGAUGAGGUGCUUGCUAUGUUGCCUAGGCUGGUCUUGAACUUCUGGCCUCAAGAAAUCCUCCUCCUGAUCCUCCUGCCUCAGCCUCCCAAAGUGUUGGGAUUACAGCACUGGCUAGAACUUCCAUCCCUGUGGUGAAUAAGAGUGAUGAAAGUGGACACCAUCGUAUUAUUGAAUUGAAGGGAUUCAAACCUCUUCUGUGAUAAUCAUAGAACUGUAGCAUCAGAAGGCAAUUCCCUAAGCGUGGUCUGCCCACAUCCCUGGUGGUAAGCCAAAUGAUCGUAAGUGGUAGAGCGGCAAUUACUUUUAAAAAAUUUGACAGUCAUAUAUCUAUUUCAAUGUAUAGCAAAUAUAGAAUUGGAACAUCAAACUAUGAUUUUAUAGAUAUUAUUGCCUAGGACCAUGCUAAGUUUCAGAAGUGAAUCUAUUUAGAUCAAUAAAAAUAUAUUAAGAAAGUAGUGGCAUAGGUGGUGUGUCACUCUAACAGAGCAUAAACCAGUUGGGAGACAAUCCUACCGAGGUCUGAAGUGGCAUUCUCACACAUGGACUAUGUUCUCAGCAGCUGGGCAGCUAGCUUCUGCUCAUGAGGAGCAGAGGUAACUGGAGUAGCAUAGUCUGCAUGAGGAUUGAGCAGACCCAAACACAAGUUGAGAGAGGCUGGGCAUUAGAAGAACAAAUAUCUCCUUUUAAGAUUAUUCAGCCUGGCAGUCUGUUCUCAAUGUGAACUCAAGAGGCUGCUUCCUCUACGUGCCCAUGCAAAGCACAAAUCUGAGAUCUUACUAUUCCAAUUUGAGGAAGAGCCACCUGCACCUUGGAAAAACGGAAGCGCGUGCAAAAGCCUGAGAACCAGCUGGUUGCAGGUCUGUGCCAGGCCUUUGUGCACUAGGUGUGCCUGGGUCGGGGGAGAAGUCCAUGGGGCUGAGCUCAGGCAGGCCAGUGCUCCAUGUAUGUGGUAACAAGAAGGUAAAGGAACAAGAAAAGCUGUUGAACCAGCCAUAAAUUGGCUGUCUUCCGUGGUAUUCAGUGUCCUGUUUAUGACUGUAAAUUGGGUAUAUCUUUAUCACAACUGUGCUUUUGGGGAAAACAGGAAGUAUUUCUCCUAAGGAAUGGGUUUACACUGAAUAUUUGGUGUAUUCGUUCUCACAGUGCUAUAAAGAACUACCUGAGUCUGGGGAAUUUAUGAAGAAAAGAGGUUUAAUUGACUCAUAGCUCUGCAGGCUUAACAGGAAGCAUGGCUGGGGAGGCCUCAGGAAACUUACAAUCAUGGUGGAAGGCUAAGGGGAAGCAAGCAUGUCUUAACCUGACAGAAUAGGAGAAGGGGUUGGGGAAGUGCCACACACUUUUAAACUAUCAGAUCUCAUGAGAACUCACUCACUCUCACGAGAACAGCAUGGAAGAAAUCCACCCCCAUGAUCUAGUCACUUCCCACCAGGUCCCUUUCCCAAAAUUGGGAAUUACAAUUCAACAUGAGAUUUGGGUGGGGACACAGAGCCAAACCAUAUCCCUUGGUAUGUUAGUGAGGGCUCUCAAGAUAAACAGAACUAACAGGAUAUAUCUAUAUAUUUAUCUAACGUAGGAGAUUAUAAGGUAUUGGCUCACUCAAUUAUGAAGACUGAGAAAUGUCAUAAUCUGCUUGUCUGCAAGCUGGAGAUCCAGAAAAGCUGGUGGUGUAGUUUAAUGGACUGAGAGCCAGUGCUAUAGAUUCAAGUCCAAGCCCGAAGGCCUAAGAACCAGGAGCUCCAAGGAUAGGAAAAGAUUUACUUACUAGCUCAUGCAGUCAGACAACGAACAAAUUCAACCUUCUUCCACCUUUUAGUUCUAUUUAAGCCUUCAACAGAUUGGAUGAUGCCCCCUCACAUUGUGGAGGGCCAUCUGCUUUACUCAGUCUACCAAUUCAAAUCCUAAUCUCUUCUGGAAAUAACCUCACAGAAAUAUCCAGAACUAAUGUGUAAUCAGAUAUCUGGCCAUCCUGUGGCCCAGUCAAACUGACACAUAAAAUUAACCAUCACACUUGGUAUCAUCAACAUUGUGCUAAUGAAGACUGAGUUAUUUAGACUUUGGAAAAGAUACAGUGGACUAUUGUGCUCAUUUGAGGAUGUCCACGAAAUCAGCCUUUAGUACUAAAUAAAAAACAGAUAGAUAUGAAGAAUGGAUUGUUUAGGCAGAUUCUGGCACAGAACAUGGCUGAUGUUAGAACCUCCCCUCCCCCAGGGUCAUGACCUUGGGAAGAAGAGAUGGAUAAGUAAACCCUUAGACCCAUCUCAAUAUUACCUCCUCAGUAAGUUCUUUCCUAUAAUAAUUGUACCUUACCCUUCCUUGUUCUUCCAUCUUCUGUAUCACUUUAUCUGGACAACUGUUAGGGUAAGCACACUGCUAAUUAUGUUUUUGUUUAAUCCACUUUGAUAACAUGUUAAAUGCCCAGAGUGUACAGAUCUCUUCAUGAUUAUCUCUGCACUCUACUCAGAAUCCAGUUCAGUGCUUUGUGGAGAAUAAUAACUCAGAACAAUAAAGAUGGAACUGAAGGAGGGGGUAUAAGUGGGGAGAUGUAGCCACGCUCAGCAAGACAGGGCCAUGUGGUCACAGAACUACCCAGGAGACUUUGUCCCUGGCCAGCGCCUAGAUGACAUUUGCUGGAUACUUGGCACUGAUUGCUGCUAGCUGAGUGAGGAAGGGGGAAAAAAAAAAAAAAAUCCCAAAA